rnacentral:misc_RNA from 1 species
CACCCUUUAGGCAUGUUUGACAGCAUUGCCACCCUUGCUGUUGCUCAGAAUAUGCGAGAACUUUAUAGAUUGGUGCUUGUGGACACACCAUUGGCUCCAUACUUCUCAGAGUGCAUCACAUCUGAGGAUUUGGAUGACAUGAAUAUUGAAAUUAUGAGGAAUACUCUUUACAAGGCAUAUCUUGAAGACUUUUACAGGUUUUGUCAGAAACUUGGGGGUGCCACAGCCGAGAUAAUGUCUGAUCUCCUUGCCUUUGAGGCUGAUAGAAGAGCUGUCAAUAUUACAAUAAAUAGCAUUGGCACAGAGCUUACCAG